rnacentral:rRNA from 1 species
UGGAUGUGGAAGUGCAGUGAUGCAUGAAGCUGACCAAUACUAAUUGCUCGUGAGGCUUGACUAUACAACACCCAAACAGUUG